GUAAGGUCAGAGGCCAAAGAUCGGCUGGUCCCUGGCAGCACAGCGCGGCUUUCCCGCAGGCCGGGGCUGGGGCGGGUUCUGCAUCUUCCCUUCUUCUUUCCCGCAGGCCAGGGCUGGGGCAGGGCAAAUGGGACACAGAUCAACUUAGGAAGACAAAGGCAGCCCCCUGCAGGCAGUGGUGGGGUGCAAAUGCUGCCGGCCCAGCGCCUCUCCCCACCCACACGGCGCCAGGACGAAACCCUGCUGUGGCCGGGGCUCCGGCGAGGCCUUUCCGGGCCGACGGUGUGAACUGCACAGGUCAGCGUGGGUUUGCUGGCACUCCCAGGCAGGCGGCUUAAACAGCGGGAGCUCAUUCCCUCCGGUGCUGGGGGCAAGGUGUCUCGCAGCGCUGGUUACCCGAGGCCUCUCUACUUGGCGCGAAGAUGAUGUAUUCCGUGUCCUCACGUGGUCGUCCUGCGUGCUGCGUCCUCGUCUCCCCUUCUCAUGAGGACGCUGGUCACACUGGGUCAGGGCCACUCGUACGGCCUCGCUUUACCUUGACAAUCUCUACAGCUCCACGCCCAAGUGCAGCCACACCCUGAGGUCCUGAGGGUCACGGGGUCACAGCUCCAGCAUGAGGAUUUGCUGGGACAGAGUUCAGCCUGUACUGAGCCGAACAGAAAAUCCCCGGCGCGCCGUCUCCUCCAGCAUCCAGACCACGGUGGGUGGGGAGGCGACAUUUUACCUCUUGGGGUUUUUGGUCAGGCCUGAUAAUUAAAAUCAGCAGAUGAGCUGGAGAAAGGCA